CUAUCAAUUUUCAUCGCUAAUUUGGUAUAUAGUGUAUGUUUCCAUUUGUAAUUGUAGCCAAUUAUAUUUUGAGUACACAGAGGCAGGAGGUAGCACUAAGUGUCGCAAUGCUACUAUACUGAUUUUCACAGAGACAGGAGCUAGCACUUAGAACACCGAAAGAUGCUCAACUACCUUUUCCCAUCUGUGUUGAAGAAAACCCAUUUUUCAUAUUUGUACAGAUCUGCGCCAACAACACAAAAUGCAUGUAAGCAUUUCAGCAUUCAAUGUUCAACCCUGAUAUUCAAGCUUAAUAUGUCUAGUACAUGAUAACUAACAAGGAGUAGUAUUUUUCUGAUCAGAAUCAGCCAGCAUGAUAUCUGAAAGUCAUGUCAGCUAAUCAUUUGUAUGCUUCUCAACUGCAUAUCUGCUAAUAUGGGCAUUUGGCCAGUGGCGGACCUAGGAUUGGAACUUAGGGUAUGCCAUGUCAAAAUUUCAACAUACAAUUCGGUAUUCGGUACAAUAUAAAAAAUUCGGUAUACAACAAAAAAAUCCACAAGCAAUUCGGAAUAUAAGCAAUUAAGUUCAAUACUUGCAUAGAUUACAAUAUAAACAGUAGAAGCAUAUUAAUGGUGUUGGUUUGUUUGGUUGAGCUGUGACUUUUGAAAAAAACUGUUGUGAGCUGUGGACUGUGGAAAAGCAGUUGUGGAAAAACAGUUGUGGGAAAAGCUGGCUUUGGGCAAAAGUAGUUGUGGCUUUUGAGCCCUUUGGUUGACUUUUGACUUCUGCAAUAGAAAGCCCAACCAAAGAUACCCUAAGUCUUAGAAAUGCAUAAAAUAAGUUUACACACUUACAAUAGUUCAAAGAGAUUAUCUUAUUUCUUUUUAUUAGGUCUACGCUUCCUAAAGUUCAUGAAAGUAUUAAUUAUAUCAUCUUCAUCCACUUGAAAGAAGAUAUCUCGCUCGAUGAAUGUGUGUAGACAAUCAUCCAAAAGACUAUAUAUCUGCCAUCUUAUUUCUCAACUUAGUUUUGACAAAAGUCGACCCUUUCAACACUUAUCGUUACCACUGGUAGAAGUAAAAGACCAAUUUUAGAAGAUCAUAAACCAUAUCAUAAACCUUAUGCCUCCCGGUUUGAACUAGCUUAACUGAAAGGACAACAAGAUUGGUAAGACCUUUGAAGCUGUCCUCAUGUUUAAUGUCAUCAAUAUAAUUGUCAAGUUGCAAUUUAAAUUUGAUCAAAUCCGAAUUAAAGAAGUUAUUAGAGAGGAGGGCUGGCUUAGGGUAUGCCACGGCAUACCCAGGCCACCCUGUAGGUCCGCCGGUGCAUUUGGCUACUUUAUGAUCCAACUAUCAUCUCCUUCAUAGCUUCAUGCGACUAUGGAAGAUAUGUGGGCAAAAAGUCGUGGCUUGCUCACGAGCUACUGCGAAGAGUGCUCUGAUGUUUUCAGAUCACGUUGAAUAAGUGUUCAGAAGUUCGGCUGGAAUUCACCGGUUUUCGGCAAAUAUCGGUCCUACUGGGUGUGGCCGGUAAAUGACCUUAUUGGUAUCUGGAACACUACAUUGAAUCAGUUCUUGAGACACCUUGAAUCGAGCUAUAAACAUUCAUGUCCCCUGCACCUUGAUGAUGCCAAUGUAGGUCGCAGACUCAUACUGCUUCUCAUUUUGCAGCUCAUCUCUUUGGAAGAUUUGUGUGCAAGCAGAUAUAUAAGUUGGAAAAACGCUGUCCUGUGUUCCUGCUUGCUGCUUCUCAAUGACUUGGUUGUAUCAUUGGCAGUCAUGCCCUACUCGUCCUAUGAUCUACCUACUGAGCAGAAGAUGUUGUCCAUUUGCACAAGUCGCCAUCCUAAGCAACUUUGAACUGAAUGCUCCUUCAGAAUGCCCUCUUCUAGUUCAUCGGAGUGGGGAUACACACAUCUGCUGAUCCUCACAGUUUUAGACAGUCAUGACAUGGAUAUGAGCUUUGUUGGUAAUUUGGCUAUUAGGAAUUUAUGCCGAUGCUUCUCGCGAAGAUCACGAUCAUCAUCACAAGAAAUGACUUGUGCUCAUCUGACUAGAGGCUGAACAAGAUUUUCUUGCAUCUCUCUGGUUGUUCAAGGAUGCAUGGAACAAAUCAGGUUCAAGCAUAGAAAUUUCCCGAGAAAUCUUGCUCCUAUUAAGAUACUGACAGUUAAAUAGGCCAGUGCUUGGUUUAAUAUAUAAUUCUGAUGACUAAUCAAGCACGAGAAGUACGACAAAUUUUGGGGGUGAUGACGUGAUGUUACUGAUGUGUAGAAUAGCAACACCCCAUUUGAAUGUUGAAGAGAGUGACCUUCUUUAAGUCAUCGGUGCCAUCCAUCUUUCAAUCAUCAAUCAGCCAUUUCAACGGCUCCUGGAGUUGAGCAGUUAAAGCGCAUGUAAAGACUUAAGGAGAGAUAAGAAUUCCUUUCACGCUGGCUCAUCGGUCAAGGAUUCUGAAAAACCAACCAAGAUUGUGCGCGCAUGUAGGAGAGAUCAAAUAAGAGCUCGGCAAGUCGACAAUACGCUUCUGAUGAGCAAGCAAGAAGCAAAGAAACCGAUUGGGAGAGAGCGUGCCAUAGCAAACACGAGAAGCCGGAGGCGAUGGACGUUGUUGUGUUGCACUGUGAAAUGAAAUAGACAGAGUAAUCUAUGUUUGGUGAAAUUCAUAAGCAGUAGUAUCCUCAGCUCUGUAAUUUGUGUUCAAUGAGUUGUGAACGGCACUUUAUGCUUUGUUGCAAUUAAGGAGUAGUAAUCUGAACUCUGUACUCCAAUUAUAUCCUUGCGCUCAUUCCAGUCC